ensembl:snRNA U6 U6 spliceosomal RNA
GUGCUCACUUUGGCAGCACAUAUACCAAAAUUGGAACAAUACAGAGAAGAUCAGCAUGGCCUCUGAAUGAGGAUGACAAAAUAUGAAAAAGAGAAAAGCUCAAAAAGAUC